GACGAACGCUGGCGGCGUGCUUAACACAUGCAAGUCGAACGGAAAGGGUCUGCUUUUGUGGGGUGCUGGAGUGGCGAACGGAUGAGUAACAAGUGAGUAAGCUGCCUGUGACUUUGGGAUGACUAAAGGAAACUGGGGCUAAUAAAGGAUAGGAGCUCCGGCUGCAUGGUGGGGGUUGGAAAGUUUCGGCGGUUGGGGAUGGACUCGCGGCUUAUCAGCUUGUUGGUGGGGUAGUGGCUUACCAAGGCUUUGACGGGUAGCCGGCCUGAGAGGGUGACCGGCCACAUUGGGACUGAGAUACGGCCCAGACUCGUACAGGAGGCAGCAGUGGGGAAUAUUGCACACUGGGCGGCAGCCUGAUGCAGCAACGCCGCGUGCUUGAUGACGGCCUUCGGGUGGUAAACCGCUUUUGCCUGUUACGAAGCGUGAGUGACGGUAAUGGGUAAAGAAGCACCGGCUAACUACGUG
rnacentral:rRNA from 1 species